UACAGAGGUGGCAAGCGUUGUUCGGAAUUACUGGGCGUAAAGGGCGCGUAGGCGGUUCGUUAAGUCCUGUGUGAAAUCCCCCGGCUCAACUGGGGAACUGCACAGGAAACUAGCGGGCUCGAGUUCGGGAGAGGGAAGCGGAAUUCCGGGUGUAGCGGUGAAAUGCGUAGAUAUCCGGAGGAACACCGGUGGCGAAGGCGGCUUCCUGGACCGACACUGACGCUGAGGCGCGAAAGCUAGGGGAGCAAACGGG
rnacentral:rRNA from 1 species